CAGAAGGAGCCACUCAGGGCCUAGGUUUAAGGGUUGGCCCCUCUGAAUGGCCUGGACCUGAAAGCAGGACUUUAUUUGCUGAACUCAGGAGAGUGGGCAAGUUAAUUUCUAGUGUAAAUUUAAUCAGAACAAAACAGCCAAGGGGUGCUGAUAAUGAAAUGAUUACUUACUCCCUUGGAUCCCUGGAGCUAAGUGCUUUGUAUCUCUAAUGUCACUUAGUCCUCUGGGCAACUUUAGGCAAUACAGGUGGUAUCCUUACUUCACUUAGAGCUUAAUUAGCUUUCUAGGCCCUGUGUUUCUUCCUUUACCUGUGAAGACAGCCUGUCCUAUAAAGUGACUUCUAUUGAUUGCUGAUUCACUUAUUUUGUGUACCAGUUUGUCUCGAGAGAUUUGCAUCAUUUCCAUUAACUGGGGGCAUUUCAUUAAUGUCCAUUAACUGGGUAGAAUCCCUGAAGAAUACGCUGCUUUUUCACUCUAGAAAUUGGAACCAUUUGGGUAGAGAUACAGGGUUGGAGAGAUGUGGGCCUUUUUCUGCCGGAAACAGUAAUUUCAAGCACCAUCUCACUAAGCUUCUUGGUAGCUCUAUUGUCAUGGGGACACCUCACAAAUCUGAUUGAACUAGUAUAUGCCCAGCUGAGGUGUGCUCUGAGCCAGGCCCUAUGUUGCACUAAGUAUCCUGACAGGAAUCAGACCUGGUGCCUAUGCCUGGUAGAAGGAACAGAAGAUACAGGUAAAUAAAACAGAAGGCCCUAGUGUGACCAAGGCACAGUAUGCUAGAGGAGUGUGGGGGAGGAGAAAUGAAUUGCAAAUGGGACUCUCCAGAAAUGCCUAGUGGAGGCUGGAUUUAAGUUGGGCCUUUCAGCCCUGCCUAAGUAUUCAUUGGGAAACACUGGAAGGAAAAGCUUUUUAAGCAAAGGAUCCAUUUUAGCAAAGUUAUAAGGUAGGAAAGUACAUAGAGUAUCUGGGAAAUUUAAGGAUGACUUCAUGAGGACGAGGUCAGAGAUUAAAAUAUUUUCUGACAAGUCACCUUACAUUCAUCCAAUAUGAGAAAUUCUCACACUCCAUAAAAAACAGUGAUCAUUUUUUGUUUCCCAUUGUUGCCAUCAUGUAAAUGAUUAGUGCCGUAUGUUGAGCAGAAUAUUAUUACAUGUCUACCACUAGACUAUCACAUUUAUUUCUCAGCUAAUCCUGCAAAUUAGGACUUAAUCUCAUUUUACAGAUGAGUAUACAUAAAGGAUAAGUAGAAUUUAAAGUGAUGGUAGCCCAGGAUUAAUGCCACAGCUAUUGUUUUUUCUACUACACCCCAGCGCCUCCCACAAGUACU
rnacentral:lncRNA from 1 species